CUGAGUACGGCGGAACACGUGAAAUUCCGUCGGAAUCCGGGAGGACCAUCUCCCAAGGCUAAAUACUCCCUAGUGACCGAUAGUGAACCAGUACCGUGAGGGAAAGGUGAAAAGCACCCCGGAAGGGGAGUGAAACAGUUCCUGAAACCGUGUGCCUACAAGUAGUUAGAGCCCGUUAAUGGGUGAUAGCGUGCCUUUUGUAGAAUGAACCGGCGAGUUACGAUUUGUUGCAAGGUUAAGCGGAAAAAGCGGAGCCGUAGCGAAAGCGAGUCUGAAUAGGGCGCAUAAGUAACAGGUCGUAGACCCGAAACCAGGUGAUCUACCCAUGUCCAGGAUGAAGGUAAGGUAAUACUUACUGGAGGUCCGAACCCACGCACGUUGAAAAGUGCGGGGAUGAGGUGUGGGUAGCGGAGAAAUUCCAAUCGAACUUGGAGAUAGCUGGUUCUCUCCGAAAUAGCUUUAGGGCUAGCCUCGAGGUAAAGAGUCAUGGAGGUAGAGCACUGUUUGGACUAGGGGCCCUUCUCGGGUUACCGAAUUCAGAUAAACUCCGAAUGCCAUGUACUUAUACUCGGGAGUCAGACUGCGAGUGAUAAGAUCCGUAGUCGAAAGGGAAACAGCCCAGACCACCAGUUAAGGUCCCCAAAUAUAUGUUAAGUGGAAAAGGAUGUGGGGUUGCUUAGACAACCAGGAUGUUGGCUUAGAAGCAGCCACCAUUGAAAGAGUGCGUAAUAGCUCACUGGUCGAGUGACCCCGCGCCGAAAAUGUACCGGGGCUAAACAUAUUACCGAAACUGUGGAUGAACCUCUUUAGAGGUUCGUGGUAGGAGAGCGUUCUAAGGGCGGUGAAGUCAGACCGGAAGGACUGGUGGAGCGCUUAGAAGUGAGAAUGCCGGUAUGAGUAGCGAAAGAAGGGUGAGAAUCCCUUCCACCGAAUAUCUAAGGUUUCCUGAGGAAGGCUCGUCCGCUCAGGGUUAGUCGGGACCUAAGCCGAGGCCGAUAGGCGUAGGCGAUGGACAACAGGUAGAGAUUCCUGUACCAGUGCUAAUUGUUUAACCGAUGGGGUGACACAGAAGGAUAGGGAAUCGCACGAAUGGAAAUGUGCG
rnacentral:rRNA from 1 species